AAUGGGAAUUCCUACCCUGCCUGUACCCUCUUAUACAUUAACAGCGAGAGGCCAGCACAACAGAGCAGCAGAUACGAUGGCAACUCAUGUCAUCAAGUAUAUGCCUAGUUCUUGUUUUUAUUGAUCAUCCGACUCCUCAAUCAGGGAGCAUGCAUCCUUUUCUUUCAGAAGAUUCGUGCAGGCCGGGGGACUAGUCACCCUCAUUUUGACUUGUACUGCCGGAUGACUUGCUCCAGUCCACUCUGGUGUGUGUAUUCUUAUGCUUUAUUGGCUUCUGAUGCAGAAACUCAUCGUCAGUGCACAAAGACAUAGGUGUAGUUUGCCUUAAUUUGCCUCUCCCAUGUUAACCACGUCUAUAGACAUUGGCGACGCUUUUCAGAUUUGCUUGUGUGAUUUUUCUUUUCUUUCGUGAAAGGGUUCCCUGAUGAUGCUAUAUGCUUAUCAGUUAAAAGAUAUCAGUAGUAUAUAUGUACUCGCGAAGCCAUCUUAAG
rnacentral:lncRNA from 1 species